AUUGCCCUAGUAACGGCGAGUGAAGCGGCAACAGCUCAAAUUUGAAAUCUGGCGCCCUCGGCGUCCGAGUUGUAAUUUGUAGAGGAUGCUUCUGGGCAGCCGCCGGUCUAAGUUCCUUGGAACAGGACGUCGCAGAGGGUGAGAAUCCCGUACGUGACCGGCCAGGCUCCCUCCACGUAGCUCCUUCGACGAGUCGAGUUGUUUGGGAAUGCAGCUCUAAAUGGGAGGUAAAUUUCUUCUAAAGCUAAAUACCGGCCAGAGACCGAUAGCGCACAAGUAGAGUGAUCGAAAGAUGAAAAGCACUUUGGAAAGAGAGUUAAAAAGCACGUGAAAUUGUUGAAAGGGAAGCGCUUGCAACCAGACUUGCCCGCGGUGUUCCGCCGGUCUUCUGACCGGUCCACUCGCCGCGUGCAGGCCAGCAUCACCUGGGACCGCCGGACAAAGGCCGGGGAAAUGUGGCUCCCCUCGGGGAGUGUUAUAGUCCCCGGCACAAUACGGCGCGCCCCGGGUGAGGUCCGCGCUUCGGCCAGGAUGCUGGCGUAAUGGUCGCAAGCGGCCCGUCUUGAAACACGGACCAAGGAGUCUAACAUCUAUGCGAGUGUUCGGGUGUCAAACCCCUACGCGCAAUGAAAGUGAACGGAGGUGGGAACUUUUUGUGCACCAUCGACCGAUCCUGAUGUCCUCGGAUGGAUUUGAGUAAGA
rnacentral:rRNA from 1 species